rnacentral:rRNA from 1 species
UAGACGAGAAGACCCUGUCGAGCUUAAGAAAAUUUUUAUAAGAAUUUAAAAAUAGUUAAAAAUACUAAAAACUAAAAUAAAAAUAUCUUUGGUUGGGGCAACCACGAAGAAAAAAAAACCUUCGUUCUAAAAAAGAAAUUUACAAAUUAAAUAUUUUUUAAAAACUAUAAGAUCCAGUACAUUCUGAUCAAAGAAAAAAGUUACCGCAGGGAUAACAGCGUUAUUCUCUUUAAGAGUUCAUAUUGACAAGAGAGUUUGCGACCUCGAUGUUGGACCGGGACACCCAAGAGGUGCAACAGCCUCUAAAGGUAGGUCUGUUCGACCUAUAAAGUCCUACGUGAUCUGAGUUCAGACCGGA